GCCAAACAUCCACAACAUCAUUGAAGCAAAUCGUGAUUCAAUUUCGUGGAGAGCGCAGAGUUCCAUUUCACUUACCUUUCUGUACUCCAAUUGGAACGACAAGUAAAGUACUACAAGGCAACCAAAGAUUGGCGAUCAGUAAAUUGGACAACGUAGGAUCUUUCUUCAUUUACUAUUCUUAUUGGAAAGUAAGGUGUUUGUUCGAUCGGCCGAUCCAAUGUUCCAACUAUGUGGCCAAAGCCAAAAGCCGUUUAAACACAAAACGAUCAGACAAGCUUUCUAAAUCAAAUCAAAUAUUUUUGAAAUUUCUAAUUAAAUGAUAAUUUCACUUUUUAUAAAUACAAAAUAACAUGUCAAUGCUACAAAUACAGCUAUAGCUGCU